UAUGCUCUUCAACUUUGUAUUGUUUGGCUUUAUAACUAUUUUGAUAUGAGCGUCACUGAUGAGUCUUAUGUAGACGAAACGCGCGUUUGGCGUACUAAAUUAUAAUCCUGGUACUUUUGAUAACUAUUUACAUCACUGGGUCGAUGCCACUGCUGGUGGACGUUUCGUCCCCGAGGGUAUCACCAGCCCAGUAGUCAGCACUUCGGUGUUGACAUGAAUAUCAAUUAUGUGAUCAUUUUUAUAAAUUUCCUGAUACAA
rnacentral:lncRNA from 1 species